GUUUUACCUGGCAAGAUGACUAUACGCAGCAUGUCAUUGGUCAGGAACUCUCAAACAUCCACAAAAUCCACAACAGACACCCUGAGAUCUUUGCAUCUGAAACAUCUGAUACAGGAAGGAUUUUGGAACAGAAUGAAGAUAAUGAAAGAAAAUCUCAUCUGGAAAACGAUGUGAACUUGGCUGAGUCUCUUCAGCAAUAUCUCAAAUAUCUAGGUCUUCUCUCUCGAUCAGCAGCUACAAAUCUCUAUCCAAGGAAGAGGAAUGACAAGGCUUCUGUCAAGAGCUACAUCUAUAAUGAUCCUGUUAGGUACUACUUGAUGCAAAAACCCAAAGAAAGAGCAACUCCAUUGGCCCACGCGUCAACGUCUCAUCAACAGUAUGCUGAAAAUCUCCAUGGGAUGACUUUCAAGCAGCCUCAGCCAGACAAGUUCUCAACAGAGUCAGAAGCAGGGCUUGGCCAGAAAGCUCUGAUGGCUGCAUUGCAUACAUACAUCACUCAGAACUUGUCAGCACAAAGCAAUGAUAAAAGCUCUCACAGUAGGACUAAAGGGUCACACGUUUAUGCUGAUAGAUUCUACUCUUCUCAAGUUGGUCCUUUUGAUGGAAGUUUUUCCAGAGGAAAAGGAGAAGAUUUCAAAAUGAAUAAACUGUUCCAGCCACAGCCUGCUUCUGGAAUGCUGGGGCCAGCCCCCGAGAUGCUGAAUCAUAAGUCUGCUUCCCAGAAUGAUCCAAAGGACCUGUUGAGGGUAGUGGAUGGUAAAGUUGAAACACUUAUUAAAGGUGUACUGAAGGACCUAGAGAAACACCAGGUGAAUGUGGAGAAUCUCAGCUCAACUGAACUGGAUGAGAUCGCUGAUACUAUUGCUAAUGCAAUUCAGACUGCUGGCAUUCAGGAAAGAACAGAAGAUGGUGCUGGAAAAACUCGAGAGGAAAAAGCAGAAGCAAAAAUUAAGGAAGGAGAUCCUCAAGGAAGGGCAGAAAUUCAGACUGGAUUAAUGGAAAACAGUGUUAACAUACCAGGUAUUGACUGUAAGAAUUAAGUACAGUGAAGGAUAGUGAGCCUCAUUUUCCUUUGUUUUACAUUAGUGC
rnacentral:lncRNA from 1 species